GCGUGGGUGAUGAAGGCCUUCGGGUUGUAAAGCCCUUUUGGCGGGGACGAUGAUGACGGUACCCGCAGAAGAAGCCCCGGCUAACUUCGUGCCAGCAGCCGCGGUAAUACGAAGGGGGCUAGCGUUGUUCGGAAUUACUGGGCGUAAAGGGCGCGUAGGCGGCCUCGUCCGUCCGGCGUGAAAUGCCUGGGCUCAACCUAGGAAUUGCGCUCGAUACAGCGAGGCUAGAGUGUGGGAGAGGUUGGUGGAAUUCCCAGUGUAGAGGUGAAAUUCGU
rnacentral:rRNA from 1 species